GGCUUGAAGUGCCAGGGUGGGGGACAACCAAGGGGCCACACCCACUCCAAGAAAAAGGGGAGGGGGAGGGAGGAAGGAUUGUAGGAGGGGAGGCUGGGAGGGAAACAGUGAGUGGGGUGUAAAGUGAAUAAGUAAAAAAAAAAUUAAUUAAUUUAAUUUAAUUAAAAGAUUUCAAGAAACUAAGAAACUCUUUCAGAUUUAUAUAUAUAUAAUCUAUAUAUAUAAAUGAAAUCUAUAUAAAUAUAUACACACAUAUAUACAUAUAUAUGUGUGUAUGUGUGUGUGUGUGUGGAGAGAGAGAGAGAGAGAGAGAGAGAGAGAGGCACACAAAAAAAGAAGAAAUAAAAACCACCAUUCUAUGUACGAGCCUGAAUUGAAUCCCAUGAAAAAUAAAUGCCAUAAUUUUAAAGCAAUUGGUGAAAUUCACAUAUAUAUUUGCACUGUUUGGAUGUUUUCAUCAUGGAAUAAGCUAGGUCAUCCCAGAAGAGGGAAUCUCAUUGAGAAAAUUCCUCUACCAGAUUGGCCUGUAGGUAAGCCUAUGGGGUGUUUUCUUUAUUAAUGAUUGAUUUGGGAGGACCCAGCAUGCUGUAGGCAGUACCACCCCUGGGCAAGUACUCCUUGCUUGUAUGAGAAAAGAGGCUGAGCAGGUUAUGAGGAGCAAGCUAAUAAGCAGCAUCCCUCUGUGGUUUCUUUUCAGUUCCUGCCCCAGGACUUGAGUUUGAAUCACCAGUACCCACAUAUAAAGGCAGAUGUGGUUACAUGUGACGGCAACCCAUGCAUUAUGGAGGAUGAAGACUGGAAGAUUUUUCUGGGGCUUGCUGAUGGUCAGCAUAGCUCCAGAAGAGACCCUUCUCAGGGGAUAAGGCAGAGAUUGACAGAAUAUGGCAUCUGAUGCCCACUUUUGGCCUCCACAAUUGUACUGAGCCAACCCACAAGCAUGCAUGGCUACCUGUACAUUCAUGUGUGUGUGCCUGUGUGCGCACACACAGAGUCAUUCAUACAGACACACACACACACACUGACACACACAGAGAGACACAUAUAAAAGGGCUUAGAAAUAACUGAUUGAAAUGUGCAUCUCAUUUGCCACUUGACAUAUAUCUAAAAUUCAGGCAGAUCUUUCUAAAUCCUCUUGUAGAAAGGUAAGUUCCAGUUAGGAAAAGAUAAAUACUUUCCUUUAAAACCAGGCCUCUAAAGUGAUAAGUAUGUGCCAAAUGGCUUCUUCUGCAGUCAGCUCUCAUAAACAGUCCACUACUUUUUCCACCUUUCCCCAUGUUUUCUUCCUGACAGUGUGAUCGAUGAGAACGCUCAAAGGAACAGACAACACCGUGCCUGCUUUUAGACACUUCACAUUAUGGUUAACAUUAUCAGCAAGCAUUCAUCCCUGGUUGUCUUCAACAAAAGAUUCUUG
rnacentral:lncRNA from 1 species